rnacentral:rRNA from 1 species
CCCUUAGAUGUUCUGGGCCGCACGCGCGCUACACUGUUCGACGCAGCGAGUCUUAACCUUGACCGAAAGGUUUGGGUAAUCUUCAGCAAAGUCGAACGUGAUGGGGAUCGAUCAUUGCAAUUAUUGAUCGUGAACGAGGAAUUCCUAGUAAGUGCAAGUCAUCAGCUUGCGCUGAUUACGUCCCUGCCCUUUGUGCACACCGCCCGUCGCUACUACCGAUUGAAUGGUUUAGUGAGAUCUCUGGAUUGACGCUGGCUAGGGGGCGACCCUUGGCCAGACUGUUGAGAAACUGCUCAAACUUGAUCAUUUAGAGGAAGUAAAAGUCGUAACA